rnacentral:rRNA from 1 species
AGAUUGAACGCUGGCGGCAGGCCUAACACAUGCAAGUCGAGCGGUAGAGAGGUGCUUGCACCUCUUGAGAGCGGCGGACGGGUGAGUAAAGCCUAGGAAUCUGCCUGGUAGUGGGGGAUAACGCUCGGAAACGGACGCUAAUACCGCAUACGUCCUACGGGAGAAAGCAGGGGACCUUCGGGCCUUGCGCUAUCAGAUGAGCCUAGGUCGAUUAGCUAGUUGGUGAGGUAAUGGCUCACCAAGGCGACGAUCCGUAACUGGUCUGAGAGGAUGAUCAGUCACACGUGGAACUGAGACACGGUCCAGACCUCCGUACGGGAGGCCAGCGAAGGUAGGGGAAUAGUUAGGAACAAGUGGGGACAAAGCCUAGACUCCGAGCCAGUCGCCGCGUGUGUAGAAGAGGUCUUCGGAUUAGUAAAGCUAACGUUUAAGGU